rnacentral:rRNA from 1 species
UGAACGCUGGCGGCACGCCUAACACAUGCAAGUCGAGCGGCAGCAUGGUAUGUAGCAAUACAUACUGAUGGCGAGCGGCGGACGGGUGAGGAACACGUAGGGACCUGCCCUCAAGCGGGGGACAACCAAGGGAAACUUUGGCUAAUACCGCAUAAACUCGGAAGAGUAAAGCUGCCCUUAGGGGUGGCACUUGAGGAGGGGCCUGCGUCCGAUUAGCUAGUUGGUGGGGUAAAGGCCUACCAAGGCGAUGACCGGUAACUGGUCUGAGAGGACGACCAGUCACACUGGGACUGAGACACGGCCCAGACUCCUACGGGAGGCAGCAGUGGGGAAUAUUGGACAAUGGGGGCAACCCUGAUCCAGCGAUGCCGCGUGAGUGAAGAAGGCCUUCGGGUCGUAAAGCUCUUUAGGUUGGGAAGAAGGCGUGGUGGGGACAAUCUGCCAUGCUUGACGGUACCGACAGAAUAAGCACCGGCAAACUCUGUGC